GACGAACGCUGGCGGCGUGCUUAACACAUGCAAGUCGAACGGUGAAAGCGGAGCUUGCUCCGCUGGAUCAGUGGCGAACGGGUGAGUAACACGUGGGCAACCUGCCCCUCACUUCGGGAUAACUCCGGGAAACCGGGGCUAAUACCGGAUAUGACCUCCUUGGGCAUCCUUGGAGGUGGAAAGGUUUUCGGUGAGGGAUGGGCCCGCGGCCUAUCAGCUUGUUGGUGAGGUAGUGGCUCACCAAGGCGACGACGGGUAGCCGGCCUGAGAGGGCGACCGGCCACACUGGGACUGAGACACGGCCCAGACUCCUACGGGAGGCAGCAGUGGGGAAUAUUGCGCAAUGGGCGAAAGCCUGACGCAGCAACGCCGCGUGCGGGAUGACGGCCUUCGGGUUGUAAACCGCUUUCAGCAGGGAAGAAGCCGCAAGGUGACGGUACCUGCAGAAGAAGCACCGGCUAACUACGUGCCAGCAGCCGCCGUAA
rnacentral:rRNA from 1 species